GGCGCUGUAGUGUAGCGGUUAUCACUCGAGAUUCUGAUGGUGCAUCGCAGCAAGUCAAUUCUCGUAACCCAGGUUCGAGUCCUGGCAGUGCCU